CAAAAAUGAAGAAAUCUCUUCUCAGGACA
rnacentral:tRNA from 1 species